rnacentral:rRNA from 1 species
CAAGUCGAACGCGAGCGGGGCGCAAGCGCCGCUCGAGUGGCAAACGGGUGAGUAACACGUGGGUGACCUGCCUUCGAGUGGGGGAUAACGUCCCGAAAGGGACGCUAAUACCGCAUGACAUCCUGCUUUUGGAAAAGCGGACAUUAAAGCUGGGGAUCGCAAGACCCGGCGCUUGAAGAGGGGCCCGCGCCUGAUUAGCUUGUUGGUGGGGUAACGGCUCACCAAGGCAACGAUCAGUAUCCGGCCUGAGAGGGCGGACGGACACACUGGGACUGAGACACGGCCCAGACUCCUACGGGAGGCAGCAGUGGGGAAUUGUUCGCAAUGGGCGCAAGCCUGACGACGCAACGCCGCGUGGAGGACGAAGAUCUUCGGGUCGUAAACUCCUGUCGAGCGGGACGAACGCUUCCUGGGUGAAUAGCCUGGGGAAAUGACGGUACCGCUAAAGGAAGCCCCGGCUAACUCCGUGCCAGCAGCCGCGGUAAUACGGGGGGGGCAAGCGUUGUUCGGAAUUACUGGGCGUAAAGGGCUCGUAGGCGGCCCUCUCAGUCGGAUGUGAAAUCCCCCGGCUCAACCUGGGAAUGGCAUCCGAUACUGGAGGGCUUGAAUUCGGGAGAGGGAUGCAGAAUUCCAGGUGUAGCGGUGAAAUGCGUAGAUAUCUGGAGGAAUACCGGUGGCGAAGGCGGCAUCCUGGACCGAGAUUGACGCUGAGGAGCGAAAGCUAGGGGAGCAAACGGGAUUAGAUACCCCGGUAGUCCUAGCCCUAAACGAUGAAUGCUUGGUGUGACGGGUAUCGAUCCCUGUCGUGCCGAAGCUAACGCAUUAAGCAUUCCGCCUGGGGAGUACGGUCGCAAGGCU